rnacentral:sRNA from 1 species
ACGAGCGCAACCCUCGUUUCUAGUUGCCAUCAUUCAGUUGGGCACUUUAGAGAGACUGCCGGUGACAAACCGGAGGAAGGUGGGGAUGACGUCAAGUCAGCAUGCCCCUUACGCCUUGGGCUACACACGUACUACAAUGCUACGGACAAAGAGCCGCAAGUUCGCGAGGACAAGCAAAUCUCAUAAACCGUGGCUCAGUUCAGAUUGCAGGCUGCAACUCGCCUGCAUGAAGGCGGAAUCGCUAGUAAUCGCAGGUCAGCAUACUGCGGUGAAUACGUUCCCGGGCCUUGUACACACCGCCCGUCACACCAUGGGAGUUGGCCACGCCCGAAGUCGUUACUCCAACCGUUCGCGGAGGAGGAUGCCGAAGGCAGGGCUGAUGACUGGGGUGAAGUCGUAACAAGGUAGCCGUACCGGAAGGUGUGGCUGGAUCACCUCCUUUUAGGGAGACCUACCCGUUUUUUCUUGACUACUUAGGGUUUGAAUUAGCUUUGGUUAAUCGAGCACUGAGUCAUUAGAGAAGAAGCUGGUCAUCCCAAGGUCGUUGGGGAUUUGAGUGUUGACUUCCAAGCUAUGUAAGAUUGGUUCGGGUUAUGGGCUAUUAGCUCAGGUGGUUAGAGCGCACCCCUGAUAAGGGGGGGAGGUCCCUGGUUCGAGUUCCGGAAUGGCCCACCUUUUCGAGAUAAGGGGGUUUAGCUCAGUUGGUAGAGCGCCUGCUUUGCAAGCAGGAUGUCAACGGUUCGAGUCCGUUAACCUCCACUGAAAGCUAAGGGCUUUCUACAAUGACCCGAACCGAAUUCAAUCCCAGCAACUCAUCUAAUCAUUAGAGAGCCUGCUGGAAUUAUUCCAGUCAGAACCUUGAAAACUGCAUAGAAACUUGUCAGGUAGAAAGUAGUGGUUUUUCAGUGAAUUGCCCACAAGGCAAAUUAUUGAAAGGCACAACAAAUAUCACAGACACCAAUGUUGAUUGGUUUAAGUGGUCAAGCUAAUAAGGGCUGAUGGUGGAUACCUWGGCACACAGAGGCGADG